CCGAAAACAUAGCCUCUCCCCCACUCCCCACCCUCAAAUCAAAACCAAAAUAUUUUAACACCUUAGUAAAGAAGAUUAAAAAACUUUUAAGAGCUAUAAACAUGUACCGUAAGGGAAAGAUGAAAUAAAAAUGAAAUAAAUCUCAAGCACAGAAAAAUAGAGACCUCCCCUCGUACCUUUUGCAUCAUGAUUUAGCUAGUCUAAUUAGGCAGAAAGCCCCUUAAGUCUAACCCCCCGAAACUAAGUGAGCUAAUUCAGGGCCGCUUAAUGAGCUAACCCGUCUAUGUUGAAAAAUAGUGGGAAGACCCUGAAAUAGAGGUGAAAGACCUAACGAACUUAGUAAUAGCUGGUUUCUCAGGAAAAGAAUUUUAGUCCAACCUAAAGCAUGCACACAUAUACAUAAAUACCCCCCCCACUUUAGAGCAAUUCAAAUAAGGUACAGCCUAUUUGAUACAGGACCCAACCUUUACUAACGGGUAACAUUAAUUCACAUUUACAAGUAGGCCUAAGAGCAGCCACCUUUUGAAAAGCGUCAAAGCUUAACUAUGUUUACUCUAAUUUCUUAACCCAUCUAGACCCCUUCAACUGUACUGAGAACUUCUAUAAUAUUAUAGAACCUUUUAUGCUAAAACUAGUAACAAGAGACAACCCCUCUCCCCAAUGCAAAUUAAAGCCAGCAAGAACCCACCACUGGCAACCAACAGACCUGAACAAAAGCGGCAACUUCACUAGAAAACCCCACUUCCCACAACUGUUAACCUAACACCAGAGCAUUUCAAGAAAGAUUAAAAGAAAAAGAAGGAACUCGGCAAACAUUAACCCCGCCUGUUUACCAAAAACACCGCCUCUUGCCCAUAUAAGAGGUCCAGCCUGCCCAGUGACACUUGUUCAACGGCCGCGGUAUCCUAACCGUGCAAAGGUAGCGUAAUCACUUGUCUUCUAAAUAAAGACCAGUAUGAAAGGCAUCACGAGGGCUAAACUGUCUCCUUUCCCUAAUCAGUGAACCUAAUCCCCCCGUGAAGAAGCGGGGAUCCUAGUAUAAGACGAGAAGACCCUAUGGAGCUUUAAACAUCAUAACACCUGCUACUACAUUUCUACUUACUCAGGUAUCCCCCUAACAGCACACUGAUUAUAUGUUUUUGGUUGGGGUGACCGCGGAGAAAAACCAAUCCUCCGUAAUGAAAGGGACUCUCCCUAAACAGCAAGCUACAACUUUAUGUAUCAGCAAACUGACAUUCAUUGACCCAAUAUAUUGAUUAACGAACCAAGUUACCCUAGGGAUAACAGCGCAAUCCACUUCAAGAGCCCCUAUCGACAAGUGGGCUUACGACCUCGAUGUUGGAUCGGGGUAUCCUAGUGGUGCAGCCGCUACUAAAGGUUCGUUUGUUCAACGAUUAAAACCC
rnacentral:rRNA from 1 species